GACAGAGGGUGCAAGCGUUGUUCGGAAUUACUGGGCGUAAAGCGCGUGUAGGCGGCCCUGCAAGUCGGAUGUGAAAGCCCUGGGCUCAACCGAGGAAGUGCAUUCGAAACUGCAAAGCUAGAGUCUCGGAGAGGAUAGUGGAAUUCUCGGUGUAGAGGUGAAAUUCGUAGAUAUCGAGAGGAACACCGGUGGCGAAGGCGGCGAUCUGGACGAUGACUGACGCUGAGACGCGAAAGCGUGGGGAGCAAACAGG
rnacentral:rRNA from 1 species